rnacentral:rRNA from 1 species
GUAGUCCACGCCGUAAACGGUGGGUACUAGGUGUGGGUUUCCUUCCUUGGGAUCCGUGCCGUAGCUAACGCAUUAAGUACCCCGCCUGGGGAGUACGGCCGCAAGGCUAAAACUCAAAGAAAUUGACGGGGGCCCGCACAAGCGGCGGAGCAUGUGGAUUAAUUCGAUGCAACGCGAAGAACCUUACCUGGGCUUGACAUGCACUAGAAACACCUAGAGAUAGGUGCCCCCUUGUGGUUGGUGUGCAGGUGGUGCAUGGCUGUCGUCAGCUCGUGUCGUGAGAUGUUGGGUUAAGUCCCGCAACGAGCGCAACCCUUGUCUCAUGUUGCCAGCACGUUAUGGUGGGGACUCGUGAGAGACUGCCGGGGUCAACUCGGAGGAAGGUGGGGAUGACGUCAAGUCAUCAUGCCCCUUAUGUCCAGGGCUUCACACAUGCUACAAUGGCCGGUACAAAGGGCUGCGAUGCCGUGAGGUGGAGCGAAUCCUUUCAAAGCCGGUCUCAGUUCGGAUCGGGGUCUGCAACUCGACCCCGUGAAGUCGGAGUCGCUAGUAAUCGCAGAUCAGCAACGCUGCGGUGAAUA